AACGUAGGAGACGAACGUUAUCCGGAGUUACUGGGCGUAAAGGGCGUGUAGGCGGUUUGUUAAGUCUGGCGUGAAAGCUCUCGGCUAAACCGGGAGAGGUCGUUGGAUACUGGCGAACUAGAGGAUGGUAGAGGCGUGUGGAAUUCCGGGUGUAGUGGUGAAAUGCGUAGAUAUCGUCAGGAACGCCAAUGGUGAAGACAGGUGACUGGGCUAGUUCUGACACUGAGGCACGAAAGCGUGGGGAGCGAACGGG
rnacentral:rRNA from 1 species